rnacentral:rRNA from 1 species
AACGAACGCUGGCGGCAUGCCUAACACAUGCAAGUCGAACGAAGGCUUCGGCCUUAGUGGCGCACGGGUGCGUAACGCGUGGGAACCUGCCCCUCGGUUCGGAAUAACAGUUAGAAAUGACUGCUAAUACCGGAUGAUGACUUCGGUCCAAAGAUUUAUCGCCGAGGGAUGGGCCCGCGUAGGAUUAGCUAGUUGGUGGGGUAAAGGCCUACCAAGGCGACGAUCCUUAGCUGGUCUGAGAGGAUGAUCAGCCACACUGGGACUGAGACACGGCCCAGACUCCUACGGGAGGCAGCAGUGGGGAAUAUUGGACAAUGGGCGAAAGCCUGAUCCAGCAAUGCCGCGUGAGUGAUGAAGGCCUUAGGGUUGUAAAGCUCUUUUACCAGGGAUGAUAAUGACAGUACCUGGAGAAUAAGCUCCGGCUAACUCCGUGCCAGCAGCCGCGGUAAUGUCGAUAU